UGGGGAAUCUUGCGCAAUGGACGAAAGUCUGACGCAGCGACGCCGCGUGGGUGAUGAAGGCCUUCGGGUUGUAAAGCCCUGUGGGGAGGGACGAAUAAGUGCUGGCUAACAUCCAGCGCGAUGACGGUACCUCCUUAGCAAGCACCGGCUAACUCUGUGCCAGCAGCCGCGGUAAGACAGAGGGUGCAAACGUUGUUCGGAAUUACUGGGCGUAAAGCGCGUGUAGGCGGCUUCGCAAGUCGGAUGUGAAAGCCCUCGGCUCAACCGGGGAAGUGCAUUCGAAACGGCGGGGGUAGAGUCCCGGAGAGGAUGGUGGAAUUCUCGGUGUAGGGGUGAAAUUUGUAGAUGUCGAGAGGAACACCGGUGGCGAAGGCGGCCAUCUGGACGGUGACUGACGCUGAGACGCGAAAGCGUGGGGAGCAAACA
rnacentral:rRNA from 1 species